rnacentral:rRNA from 1 species
AUUGAACGCUGGCGGCAUGCCUUACACAUGCAAGUCGAACGGUAACGCGGGGCAACCUGGCGACGAGUGGCGAACGGGUGAGUAAUGUAUCGGAACGUGCCCAGUAGUGGGGGAUAGCCCGGCGAAAGCCGGAUUAAUACCGCAUACGACCUACGGGUGAAAGGGGGGGAUCGCAAGACCUCUCGCUAUUGGAGCGGCCGAUAUCAGAUUAGCUAGUUGGUGGGGUAAAGGCCCACCAAGGCAACGAUCUGUAGCUGGUCUGAGAGGACGACCAGCCACACUGGGACUGAGACACGGCCCAGACUCCUACGGGAGGCAGCAGUGGGGAAUUUUGGACAAUGGGCGCAAGCCUGAUCCAGCCAUGCCGCGUGCGGGAAGAA